GACGAACCGUGCGAACGUUAUUCGGAAUCACUGGGCUUAAAGCGCGUGUAGGCGGGCCGGCCCGUCGGCCGCUGAAAUCCCCCGGCUCAACCGGGGAAGCGGCGCCGAUACGACCGGCCUGGAGGGGAGUAGGGGGGCCUGGAACUUCCGGUGGAGCGGUGAAAUGCGUUGAGAUCGGAAGGAACGCCCGUGGCGAAAGCGAGGCCCUGGACUCCUGCUGACGCUGAGACGCGAAAGCCAGGGGAGCGAACGGG
rnacentral:rRNA from 1 species